rnacentral:rRNA from 1 species
UACGAAGGGUGCAAACGUUGCUCGGAAUCAUUGGGCGUAAAGCGCACGUAGGCGGCCUUGCAAGUCGGAUGUGAAAUCCCACGGCUCAACCGUGGACGUGCAUCCGAAACUGCUCGGCUCGAGUAUGGAAGAGGGUCGCGGAAUUCCCGGUGUAGAGGUGAAAUUCGUAGAUAUCGGGAGGAACACCGGUGGCGAAGGCGGCGACCUGGGACAAUACUGACGCUGAGGUGCGAAAGCGUGGGGAGCAAACAGG